UACGGGGGGGGCAAGCGUUGUUCGGAAUUACUGGGCGUAAAGCGCGUGUAGGCGGCUCUGUAAGUCGGGUGUGAAAUCCCACGGCUCAACCGUGGAAGUGCACUCGAAACUACAGGGCUAGAGUCCUGGAGAGGAAGGUGGAAUGCUUGGUGUAGAGGUGAAAUUCGUAGAUAUCAAGCGGAACACCGGUGGCGAAGGCGGCCUUCUGGACAGUGACUGACGCUGAGACGCGAAAGCGUGGGGAGCAAACAGG
rnacentral:rRNA from 1 species